GACGAACGCUGGCGGCGUGCCUAAUACAUGCAAGUAGAACGCACAGUUUAUACCGUAGCUUGCUACACCAUAGCCUGUGAGUUGCGAACGGGUGAGUAACGCGUAGGUAACCUGCCUGGUAGCGGGGGAUAACUAUUGGAAACGAUAGCUAAUACCGCAUAAUAUUAAUUAUUGCAUGAUAAUUCAUUGAAAGGUGCAAUUGCACCACUACCAGCUGGUCCUGCGUUGUAUUAGCUAGUAGGUGAGGUAACGGCUCACCUAGGCGACGAUACAUAGCCGACCUUAGAGGGUGAUCCACCAAACUGGGACUGAGACACGGCCCAGACUCCUACGGGAGGCAGCAAGAGGGGAUCUUCGGCAAUGGACGAAAGUCUGACCGAGCAACGCCGCGUGAGUGAAGAAGGUUUUCGGGUCGUAAAACUCUGUUGUAUGAGAAGAACGGGUGGGAGAGUGGAAAGUUCACACUGUGACGGUAUCUUACCAGAAAGGGACGGCUAACUACGUG
rnacentral:rRNA from 1 species